GACGAACGCUGGCGGCGUGCUUAACACAUGCAAGUCGAACGGAAAGGCCCUGCUUUUGUGGGGUGCUCGAGUGGCGAACGGGUGAGUAACACGUGAGUAACCUGCCCUUGACUUUGGGAUAACUUCAGGAAACUGGGGCUAAUACCGGAUAGGAGCUCCUGCUGCAUGGUGGGGGUUGGAAAGUUUCGGCGGUUGGGGAUGGACUCGCGGCUUAUCAGCUUGUUGGUGGGGUAGUGGCUUACCAAGGCUUUGACGGGUAGCCGGCCUGAGAGGGUGACCGGCCACAUUGGGACUGAGAUACGGCCCAGACUCCUACGGGAGGCAGCAGUGGGGAAUAUUGCACAAUGGGCGGAAGCCUGAUGCAGCAACGCCGCGUGCGGGAUGACGGCCUUCGGGUUGUAAACCGCUUUCGCCUGUGACGAAGCGUGAGUGACGGUAAUGGGUAAAGAAGCACCGGCUAACUACGUGCCAGCAGCCGCGGUGAUACGUAGGGUGCGAGCGUUGUCCGGAUUUAUUGGGCGUAAAGGGCUCGUAGGUGGUUGAUCGCGUCGGAAGUGUAAUCUUGGGGCUUAACCCUGAGCGUGCUUUCGAUACGGGUUGACUUGAGGAAGGUAGGGGAGAAUGGAAUUCCUGGUGGAGCGGUGGAAUGCGCAGAUAUCAGGAGGAACACCAGUGGCGAAGGCGGUUCUCUGGGCCUUUCCUGACGCUGAGGAGCGAAAGCGUGGGGAGCGAACAGGCUUAGAUACCCUGGUAGUCCACGCUGUAAACGGUGGGUACUAGGUGUGGGGUCCAUUCCACGGGUUCCGUGCCGUAGCUAACGCUUUAAGUACCCCGCCUGGGGAGUACGGCCGCAAGGCUAAAACUCAAAGGAAUUGACGGGGCCCCGCACAAGCGGCGGAGCAUGCGGAUUAAUUCGAUGCAACGCGUAGAACCUUACCUGGGUUUGACAUGGGUCGGGAGUGCUCAGAGAUGGGUGUGCCUCUUUUGGGGUCGGUUCACAGGUGGUGCAUGGCUGUCGUCAGCUCGUGUCGUGAGAUGUUGGGUUAAGUCCCGCAACGAGCGCAACCCUUGUUCACUGUUGCCAGCACGUUAUGGUGGGGACUCAGUGGAGACCGCCGGGGUCAACUCGGAGGAAGGUGGGGAUGACGUCAAGUCAUCAUGCCCCUUAUGUCCAGGGCUUCACGCAUGCUACAAUGGCUGGUACAGAGAGUGGCGAGCCUGUGAGGGUGAGCGAAUCUCGGAAAGCCGGUCUCAGUUCGGAUUGGGGUCUGCAACUCGACCUCAUGAAGUCGGAGUCGCUAGUAAUCGCAGAUCAGCAACGCUGCGGUGAAUACGUUCCCGGGGCU
rnacentral:rRNA from 1 species